AGUUGGAACAUUGGUUCCUGUAUGAUCACUGAAGUUAAGCAACAUCGAGCAUGGUCAGUACCUAGAUGGGUGAGCACUUGGGAAUAGCAGGUGCUGUA